rfam:Triticum aestivum genome assembly, contig: Triticum_aestivum_CS42_TGACv1_scaffold_032872_1BL
GUCUUGUUGAAGAGCUCUAGACCAUAGGAAGUGCCGUAUGACACUGUAAACAGCAGCUGUUUCUCUGCUGCUGUAAGUGUCCAUCCUCAUAUCAUAACCUUUGUGGUUUUGUCUGGGAUGGAAUUACCCAUUUGCACCGGCUUGAUUCAGCUGUGUGCUUGAUUUUAAACGGGUCUCUGAGGGAU